rnacentral:rRNA from 1 species
AUAAGGAGUCGGACCUGCCCGGUGAUAAUUUUAACGGCCGCGGUACUCUGACCGUGCAAAGGUAGCAUAAUCAUUUGCCUUAUAAUUGAAGGCUAGUAUGAAUGGUUUGACAAGAAUAAAGCUGUCUCUAACGUAAUUAUAUAGAAUUUUAUUUUUAGGUGAAGAAGCCUAAAUAAAAUUAAAAGACAAGAAGACCCUAUCGAGCUUUAAAACAAUUAAUAAAGUAAAAAAUAUAGUUGUAAAUUCAUAUUUAUUAAAAAUUUUGGUUGGGGCGACCAAGGAACAAAUAAAGCUUCUAGUUUAUGUAGCAACAGUACACGUAAUGAUCCGAAAAUUUCGAUUAAAGAAAUUAGUUACCGUAGGGAUAACAGCAUUAUCUUUUUUGAGAGCUCAUAUCGAAAAAAAGGUUUGUGACCUCGAUGUUGGACCAGAAUGUCCUAAAGAUGCAGAAGUCUUUAAGGGUUGGUCUGUUCGACCAUUAAAAUUCU